UACGUAGGGGGCAAGCGUUGUCCGGAAUCAUUGGGCGUAAAGCGCGUGUAGGCGGCUCGAUAAGUCUGCUGUGAAAGUUCAGGGCUCAACCCUGAAAUGCCGGUGGAAACUGUCGAGCUAGAGUCCGGAAGAGGCGAGUGGAAUUCCUGGUGUAGCGGUGAAAUGCGCAGAUAUCAGGAGGAACACCAAUGGCGAAGGCAGCUCGCUGGGACGGUACUGACGCUGAGACGCGAAAGCGUGGGGAGCGAACAGG
rnacentral:rRNA from 1 species